AAUUAAUAUAAACAGCCUCAAACCAGGCAAAGGAAAAACAAAACCCCAUGCAAGCUGAUCUGAUGAAGAUUAUGGAAUGGAAUUUGUGGACGGGGAGCAGAGGCAGUGCUCCAGAUUACGUUGUCAUUGAAAAGCAGCAUCAUAAUGAUGAGCUACUGCCUCUCAGAGUCCCAGAGCCCUGCUCCUGUACCCUGUAAAUCAGCUCCCCAGGGGCACUCAGACACAUGGAUGGUUGUUGCACUAUGCAUUCUGACUGUUGAUACUAUAAUUGCACCAGCUCAUGGACAUGUUAUUUAAAGAGAGACCCUCAGUCUCCCAGUGGAUGUCAUUCUGAUGGUGGGUAACAGCAAUCCAGUGAUGUUAGAUUAUACCUGAUAUCAGAAUCUGGUCACUGUCUUCAAAAUUUACU
ensembl:lncRNA